rnacentral:rRNA from 1 species
AACGAACGCUGGCGGCAUGCCUAACACAUGCAAGUCGAACGAUGCCUUCGGGCAUAGUGGCGCACGGGUGCGUAACGCGUGGGAAUCUGCCCUUGGCUUCGGAAUAACAGUUAGAAAUGACUGCUAAUACCGGAUGAUGUCCCCCUGAGAGAUCUUGGGGACCAAAGAUUUAUCGGCCAGGGAUGAGCCCGCGUAGGAUUAGGUAGUUGGUAGGGUAAAGGCCUACCAAGCCGACGAUCCUUAGCUGGUCUGAGAGGAUGAUCAGCCACACUGGGACUGAGACACGGCCCAGACUCCUACGGGAGGCAGCAGUGGGGAAUAUUGGACAAUGGGGGGAACCCUGAUCCAGCAAUGCCGCGUGAGUGAUGAAGGCCUUAGGGUUGUAAAGCUCUUUUACCAGGGAUGAUAAUGACGGUACCUGGAGAAUAAGCUCCGGCUAACUCCGUG